rnacentral:rRNA from 1 species
GACGAACGCUGGCGGCGUGCCUAAUACAUGCAAGUUGAGCGCUGAAGGUUGGUACUUGUACCAACUGGAUGAGCAGCGAACGGGUGAGUAACGCGUGGGGAAUCUGCCUUUGAGCGGGGGACAACAUUUGGAAACGAAUGCUAAUACCGCAUAAAAACUUUAAACACAAGUUUUAAGUUUGAAAGAUGCAAUUGCAUCACUCAAAGAUGAUCCCGCGUUGUAUUAGCUAGUUGGUGAGGUAAAGGCUCACCAAGGCGAUGAUACAUAGCCGACCUGAGAGGGUGAUCGGCCACAUUGGGACUGAGACACGGCCCAAGCUCCUACGGGAGGCAGCAGUAGGGAAUCUUCGGCAAUGGACGAAAGUCUGACCGAGCAACGCCGCGUGAGUGAAGAAGGUUUUCGGAUCGUAAAACUCUGUUGGUAGAGAAGAACGUUGGUGAGAGUGGUAAGCUCAUCAAGUGACGGUAACUACCCAGAAAGGGACGGCUAACUACGUG